GAUUGCCUCGUGUGGUGCAGUGUGUCUGGCUGUUAACCAGAAGGUUGGUGGUUCAAGCCCAACCAGGGACG